CCCUUAGAUGUUCUGGGCCGCACGCGUGCUACACUGAGUGGAUCAGCGGGUCAGGUUGCGCGAAAGUGUUUCCUAAUCUUGAAAUCCGCUCGUGAUGGGGAUUGACGGUUGCAAUUUUCCGCCAUGAACGAGGAAUACCUUGUAAGCGCGGGUCAUCAUCCCGCGCUGAAUACGUCCCUGCCCUUUGUACACACCGCCCGUCGCUCCUACCGAUUGAGUGGUCCGGUGAGGCUUUGGGAUCUGAGCAAAGAGAGCGUUUCGCUCGUUUUGCCCGGAAAACUCAGUCGAACCUUAUCAUUUAGAGGAAGGAGAAGUCGUAACA
rnacentral:rRNA from 1 species